rnacentral:lncRNA from 10 species
CAACCAGCCAUGAAACAAAAGUUUAAAAGCCACUCAUCUGGUUUCCCCUUUGUUUUCAAAGAAGGAAGCUAGAAAAUUAAGUGAUGUAUCCCCAAACACACACAUUUAAUUGGAGAAAGAACCCCUAAUCAAUUCUUGAAUUCAAAUUUCAAAUUAGCUGAAUGGCAUGAACCUUUCUUCCCCUGGAAUAGCCUUACAGAGACCUCACCAUUAACAGCAUCUGCAAGAGAAGAUUAAAGCACACGAUUACUUUACUCACUGUGUAACACAUGAGGAACAUGGACGAGAUGGGAAAAAG